GUGGUAGGGGACAACAGUUGGAAACGACUGCUAAUACCCUAUGAGCCCUAUGGGGGAAAGAUUUAUCGCCAUGAGAUGUGCCCGCGUUAGAUUAGCUAGUUGGUAAGGUAAUGGCUUACCAAGGCGACGAUCUAUAGCUGGUCUGAGAGGAUGAUCAGCCACACUGGGACUGAGACACGGCCCANACUCCUACGGGAGGCAGCAGUGGGGAAUAUUGGACAAUGGGGGCAACCCUGAUCCNGCCNUGCCGCGUGUGUGAUGACGGCCUUAGGGUUGUAAAGCACUUUCNGCAGUGAAGAUAAUGACAUUAACUGCAGAANAAGCCCCGGCUAACUUCNNGCCAGCAGCCGCGGUAAUACGAAGGGGGCUAGCGUUGUUCGGAAUCACUGGGCGUAAAGAGUACGUAGGCGGACUGAUAAGUUAGGGGUGAAAUCCCNAGGCUCAACCUUGGAACUGCCUUUGAUACUGUCAGUCUUGAGAUCGAGAGAGGUGAGUGGAACUCCGAGUGUAGAGGUGAAA
rnacentral:rRNA from 1 species